UCUUCCGAGCGUGCCUAGGGCUACGCUGCAUAACCUGGAGGUAGACCAGGGUAGUAUUCAUCCCCAAAACAGGAAAGAACUGCUAUGACCACGCAAAAUCAUGGAGACCGGUCAGUAUAAAAUCUUUUCUGCUGAAGACACUGGAACAAUUGGUGGACAGAUUCAUAAGGGACGAAGUUCUAGCUGUGAACCCCUUUCCGAAGAUACAGCACGCCUACUAAGCCGGUAGGACAACAGAGACGGCACUCUAUCACCUGGUAAAAGGGAGGUGGAGGGGCCACCCUAUCGAAAGAAAGCAGCGUUUUGCGUGUUUAUGGACAUUGAAGGGGCGUUCGACAACACCUCCUUCGAUGCAAUUUGUGAAGCUGCCACAAAGUUGGGCAUAAGGCACAUACUACAGACCAGGACUGUCUCCGCUAGUCUUAGAGGUACCGAGGUCAGGACCCAAGUUGGCAGGGAUUGCCCACAGGGGGCGUAGUCUUCCCCCUGCUGUAGACCUUGGUCGUGGACAGUCUAAUUACGGGGCUCGACAAGAUGAUGAUGACAGCGGUGGGUUAGGCUGACGACGUCACCUUAAUCGUCGCAGGUGACCACCUUCCCUCUAUGACAAGCAAGAUGCAGAAGGCACUUAACUUUGUUCAGAACUGGUGCACAUCUUAGGGUCUAAGGAUCAAUCCUAGCAAAACCGAAAUGGUACUCUUCACUAUGAAGUGCAACCUCAUGAUGGGACAAAUUGAGAUUUUUGGGUUAAGAUUAACCCUGUCUAUCGGGGUGCGCUACCUGGGAGUCACCCUGGACCGUUAACUUACAUGGAGGGCCCACAUCGACCACCAAGCACAGAAGGCUACGGCCACUUACUGGACCUGGAUUAUGCAGGAGGAUGGUAGACUGAACUUGGGGACUACAACCAUGGGUAGUCCAAUCACAGCAAUCAUACUGUCUCAAAUCACCUAUGCUUCACUCGUGUGGUGGCCCGCAAUGGGCAAGACCACAUUUCGAAUAGCAUACGACCGCAUCUACAGGAUGGCGAUCGUGGGCAUCACGGGGGCUCUUCGGCCACCUCGACAACUCCUAUAGAGGCCCUUCUAGACCUACCGCCUCUACACAUCACGGUGGAGGAGGAUGCCUGCGGGUAACGCUACAUCUGUGGCACCUAGGGCUUUGGAAGCGCACCGGUUUGGGACACACAGUGAUACUAAACCGGUUAGGGGCACCGCGGACUGUUCUGGAACUGACCGGGGACCGCUGCCCUAGCAGAUUCCAAUUUGACCAAACUUUCAGGGUAAUUUACCCCCCUAGGGAGACCUGGGUUAAGAACCCAGAUGAUUUAUGCUCACCAAAAGGACUCGUUUGGUAUACAGACGGGUCUAAAGCUGAGAUGGGCACCGGCGCCGGCUUCUGGUGCGGGGGACCAAGGACCAGCAUUUCGCUCUCCGUAGGACCCACGGCCUCGGUACUACAAGCCGAAUUGUUUGCCCUGCUGACCUGUGCCCUGCAUAUCCUGAGCAAAGGCUACAAAGGGAAUCACAUAUACAUCUAGUGACAGCCGAGCGGCACUUAGACACUUGGACGGAUACGUCGUAAGUUCAGUGCGGACUUGUGACUGCAUUACUCUCUUAUCACGGCUGUCAAAGAAUAACCGCGUAAGCUUCAUAUGGGCGCCAGGACACAGUGGCAUCCAAGGCAACAAGCUGGCACACAACCUAGCCAGAGAGGGAGCAUCACGCCGCACGAGUGACGAGGGCUGCCUCGCUGACCUAUCUCCGGGGCACGUAAAACGCCUAUCCAAGCAAUGGACGGAGACCUGCUUCGCGGAACCCUGGAGUGGAGCACCGGGCAUGGCUCAAACGAGGGCCCUAUUCCAAGGGCCAUCGCACUCACAAGCAGCCACGCGCAUCAAUCUAAACAGGACCGAGCUAAAAACCGCGGUGGGUUUCAUUACCGGUCACUGGUACACGGGCAGGCAUCUCGUACACUUGGGGCUCAGAACGGAGUCCCUGUGCCCGAGAUGCGGGGAGGAGCAGGAGACUCACCUCCACCUCAUCAGCCGGUGUGGUGGACUCGAGGGACCGCGUAAACGGGCCCUUGGAGCUAGCUACACCGGCGAAGAAAAAAUUGAGGAAAUAAGGGUGGGCAGACUGCUUCAAUUUGCCAAGCUGGCCGGCCUCACGUCGAUUCUUACAUAUUGGGGUGCUCCAACGGGCCCGGGCACAAUGGUCAAGCAGGACUGAACGCCCGGUUACCCCCGUCUAACAUAAAUACAUAGGUACGAGUCGUAGUAUAAAUAAUUUAUCCUGAUGAAUUUGAAUUGCUAUUCUCUGUAAUAAAUCAAUUAUUAAUAAUUAUUAUUACCCUUAUUAUCGAUUCGAAGUGUUUUACAUUAUAUAUUAUCUUAUAUAAUAAAGAGGGUUCCGUUUUUCUUUUUCGAGUACGGCACCCUAAAAAGUAGUAACCUAUCGGACCAUACAACGAACUAUUAAUGCAGGAUUCUUUGACUUAUAUUUAUAACAUAUAACGAAUGACAUAUUCGCUUCAUUUGCAUUCCUUCCGAUUAUCAUCCAAUUAAUUCAAUGUUUCUUAUGUAAUUGUGGUGCUUAAUAUCUGAAAUAUUGCGAAUUCAAACAAAAAAUAAAGAAAUAUUGAUAAAGCUCUAAAAUUUUUGCAAGAAUAUCGAAUAUUUCAUACGACCUGUAGCAUUUUUGGUGCUCGUCUUCGAAUAGUUUAUUAGCAAAUUUUAUUCAUAUAGUUUUUAAUAUGUACAUUCAAAAUUUAGACGAACUUUUUAAUUUGGUAAACUAUGAAAGAAGAUAUGCAUUUUCUAAACAUAUCAAAAUCUAUUUUUUAUAUUGUAUUUGUCGAGAGAUAAUAUUUUUUCGUUCCGCAGUCUAUCGCAGAAGUUUUCAUCUUUUACGACUGUCAAUGCAUAGACGGAUAUCUCGGCCAAUUGAUAUUUGAAAAACGAGAGAAAAUUAAAAUAUGACCAUUUUACUCCGGGUCAUGUGAUAGGAAUUCUAAAAGGGGUACUACAGACCCAGGUAUGCGACGAAAAAAUGGAUAUGGCCUAGGGUUAAACAACACUAGCAAACUACACUAUUUAUGUAGAACAUACCUCACCCAUCUCCACAUUAUUGGGUGACAUAAAGUUCUAAUAUUGGGUUCGAGAUAAAGAUCCAAUUAACUUGUUUCAGAUUCAACUGACGUAUUAGCUUCAAUGAAAAGGUCAAAAAUGCUACAGACCUGAAUGUGAAGACGGUAUAAGCAGCUUGUUUCGGCCGCCGUUUGCUGAGCCAAUACCUCCUGGUGGUGGGCCAACCGAGAAUUGGUGCUGGCGGUCGCUUUCUCUGCUUGAACAACAAGUUCAUGAUGGUGCCACUUCAAGAGAUCCUUCACUUGGAAAUACAGCUAAAAUUCAAUUUUCUUAAGACGCUAUUUUGAAAGAACAGUAAUAAAUACGAUACCAAAAA